UAAUCUCUGCAGGCAACUGUGAAGACCUGCCUCUAUCUCACAAUAGCCUCCAGAGGUUCUG
rnacentral:pre_miRNA from 1 species